AGUGAACGCUGGCGGUAGGCCUAACACACGCAAGUCGAACGGCAGCACAGUAAGAGCUUGCUCUUAUGGGUGGCGAGUGGCGGACGGGUGAGGAAUACAUCGGAAUCUACCUUUUGGUGGGGGAUAACGUAGGGAAACUUACGCUAAUACCGCAUGCGCCCUUCGGGGGAAAGCCGGGGACCUUCGGGCCUGGCGCUGAUAGAUGAGCCGAUGUCGGAUUAGCUUGUUGGUGAGGUAAUGGCUCACCAAGGCGACGAUCCGUAGCUGGUCUGAGAGGAUGAUCAGCCACACUGGAACUGAGACACGGUCCAGACUCCUACGGGAGGCAGCAGUGGGGAAUAUUGGACAAUGGGCGCAAGCCUGAUCCAGCCAUACCGCGUGGGUGAAGAAGGCCUUCGGGUUGUAAAGCCCUUUUGUUGGGAAAGAAAAGCAUUCGGUUAAUACCCGGGUGUUCUGACGGUACCCAAAGAAUAAGCACCGGCUAACUUCGUGCCAGCAGCCGCGGUAA
rnacentral:rRNA from 1 species